UACGUAGGGGGCAAGCGUUGUCCGGAAUCAUUGGGCGUAAAGCGCACGUAGGCGGAUGUGUCAGUCAGGGGUGAAAUCCCGGAGCUCGAACUUCGGAACGUGCCUCUGAUACAGCACGUCUUGAGUCCGGAAGAGGUGGGGUGGAAUUCCUAGUGUAGAGGUGAAAUUCGUAGAUAUUAGGAAGAACACCGGUGGCGAAGGCGGCCCACUGGUCCGGUACUGGACGCUGAGGUGCGAAAGCGUGGGGAGCAAACAGG
rnacentral:rRNA from 1 species